AGAGUUUGAUCCUGGCUCAGAGCGAACGCUGGCGGCAGGCCUAACACAUGCAAGUCGAACGAAGUCUUCGGACUUAGUGGCGGACGGGUGAGUAACACGUGGGAACGUGCCUUUAGGUUCGGAAUAACUCAGGGAAACUUGUGCUAAUACCGAAUGUGCCCUUCGGGGGAAAGAUUUAUCGCCUUUAGAGCGGCCCGCGUCUGAUUAGCUAGUUGGUGAGGUAAAGGCUCACCAAGGCGACGAUCAGUAGCUGGUCUGAGAGGAUGAUCAGCCACAUUGGGACUGAGACACGGCCCAAACUCCUACGGGAGGCAGCAGUGGGGAAUCUUGCGCAAUGGGCGAAAGCCUGACGCAGCCAUGCCGCGUGAAUGAUGAAGGUCUUAGGAUUGUAAAAUUCUUUCACCGGGGACGAUAAUGACGGUACCCGGAGAAGAAGCCCCGGCUAACUUCGUGCCAGCAGCCGCGGUAAUACGAAGGGGGCUAGCGUUGCUCGGAAUUACUGGGCGUAAAGGGAGCGUAGGCGGACAUUUAAGUCAGGGGUGAAAUCCCGGGGCUCAACCUCGGAAUUGCCUUUGAUACUGGGUGUCUUGAGUGUGAGAGAGGUAUGUGGAACUCCGAGUGUAGAGGUGAAAUUCGUAGAUAUUCGGAAGAACACCAGUGGCGAAGGCGACAUACUGGCUCAUU
rnacentral:rRNA from 1 species